rnacentral:rRNA from 1 species
UACAGAGGUCUCAAGCGUUGUUCGGAUUCAUUGGGCGUAAAGGGUGCGUAGGCGGCGAGGCAAGUCAGGGGUGAAAUCUCGGGGCUCAACUCCGAAACUGCACUUGAUACUGCCUUGCUAGAGUACUGGAGAGGAGAUUGGAAUUUACGGUGUAGCAGUGAAAUGCGUAGAUAUCGUAAGGAAGACCAGUGGCGAAGGCGAAUCUCUGGACAGUUACUGACGCUGAGGCACGAAGGCCAGGGGAGCAAACGGG